GUUAAUGCUCCGGAGCUCGGCCAACAGGCCCAGCAGCUUCGCAUACAGAAACCUUUGGAGGAAGCGGUGGGGUCACCAGGGAAAGAGGAGGAAAAUAAGGUAGCUGAGAGUCUUUCCCUGACGUCCUGAGCCCCUGAACCGUCCCUCGGCGAAGCUAGGUCUGACCCCUAGAGAAAAUCACGCUCUGGUAGGACAAAUUUAUCCAGAAUUCCAAAAGGUCCCCGAGGGGGUCCUCUGACACUUUCCUCUCUCACCAUGCCGUAUUUCUUGAACCCAGAGGUCUGAGGGCCAAGUGUGAAGAAAGCCCCAGAUGUGGCCAGGACGUCACCUGUGUGGAGUCUGUGGAUCGGGUCUUCUAGAGCAGGUUCUAGAAGGUGGGUGCGUCCUGUGGUGUAAAGCAUCCCUCUCCUGGCCAAACCGGCUCAUUGAGGAACAGCCGAGAACAAGGGGAGUGUCCCUCAGAGCCUGAGUAGAUCACGGACUUUUGGGCCAGGGGACCGGCCUGGGCCAUGAAACUGAACGACCCUGACUUCAAGGGGGAAUGAAUGA
rnacentral:lncRNA from 1 species